CCUACGGGCGGCAGCAGUGGGGAAUAUUGCACAAUGGGGGAAACCCUGAUGCAGCGACGCCGCGUGAGUGAAGAAGUAUUUCGGUAUGUAAAGCUCUAUCAGCAGGGAAGAAAAUGACGGUACCUGAUUAAGAAGCCCCGGCUAUCUACGUGCCAGCAGCCGCGGUAAUACGUAGGGGGCAAGCGUUAUCCGGAUUUACUGGGUGUAAAGGGAGCGUAGACGGUGAUGCAAGUCAGAAGUGAAAGCCCGGGGCUCAACUCCGGGACUGCUUUUGAAACUGUGUGUCUUGAGUGAUGGAGAGGCAGGCGGAAUUCCCAGUGUAGCGGUGAAAUGCGUAGAUAUUGGGAGGAACACCAGUGGCGAAGGCGGCCUGCUGGACAUUAACUGACGCUGAGGCGCGAAAGCGUGGGGAGCAAACAGGAUUAGAUACCCGGGUAGUC
rnacentral:rRNA from 1 species